UACCUGGUUGAUCCUGCCAGUAGUCAUAUGCUUGUCUCAAAGAUUAAGCCAUGCAAGUCUAAGUACGAGCUCUCGUACAGUGAAACUGCGAAUGGCUCAUUAAAUCAGUUAUGGUUCAUUUGAUCGUACAGUUUACUUGGAUAACUGUGGUAAUUCUAGAGCUAAUACAUGCGAGAAGCGCCGACCUCGCGGGAGGCGUGCAUUUAUCAGACCAAAAACCGGCCGCGUCUUCGGGCGCGUUCGCCUUGGUGACUCUGGAUAACUUUGCGGAUCGCACGGUCUAGCACCGGCGACGGAUCAUUCAAGUGUCUGCCCUAUCAACUUUCGUCGGUACGGUAUUUGCCUACCGAGGUUCUUACGGGUGACGGGGAAUCAGGGUUCGAUUCCGGAGAGGGAGCCUGAGAAACGGCUACCACAUCCAAGGAAGGCAGCAGGCGCGCAAAUUACCCAUUCCCGACGCGGGGAGGUAGUGACGAAAAAUAACAAUGCAGGACUCGUUCGAGGCCCUGUAAUUGGAAUGAGUACACUUUAAAAGCUUUAACGAGUAUCCAUUGGAGGGCAAGUCUGGUGCCAGCAGCCGCGGUAAUUCCAGCUCCAAAAGUAUAUAUUUAAGUUGUUGCGGUUAAAAAGCUCGUAGUUGGAUUUUGGGCGCAGGCGGCCGGGAAUCGUCGCAAGGCGUGUACUGGACGUCCUGG
rnacentral:ncRNA from 1 species